ACGGUGGUGGCGGAGGUGGUGGCGGAGGAGGAGGAUUCACGAGCGUGGAAUCGGAGGAGAAGCACUUGUUGUUGGUGGUGGUGGUGAUGGUGGCAGUGGUGGUGGUGGUGUUGGAGACGCCACCCAUUUUGAUCUCCUCCGCAUUCCACUGCCACCGAUUUCUCUUCCUUCGCUGCUCACCGGAGCAGCAUCACUGUCGCAAAGAAUUCGUGAGGAUGGAGAGCAACGGAAGAACACAAGAACGAAGAGCAGCGAUAGAUUUUUUAAACCGCCCAAAAUCCGAUCCCCGAAUCCGCCCCGAGAGAUCGAGAUCGAGAUCGAGAGAGAGAGAGAGAGAGAGAGAGAGAGAGGAGACCCACCAAAGCGCUGCGCUGCUAAGCGUGAAUGGGCGACAAACGCAUUGACGCGGCGGCCAUAGCGAUAGCUUCUUCGCGUAAGCUAUCCUUUCCGUUCUCCUAUCAAGGCAUUGGCUGGCGCUGUCUUCGUUCACUCUAUCUAUCUAGGAAGGGGAGAGAGAGUGAGAGAGGAGGGAGAAGACUCUACAGUGUGGAAGCGCUAGCGGGGGCGCGGCGAAGCAUUAGCAGAAG
rnacentral:lncRNA from 1 species